rnacentral:misc_RNA from 1 species
GAUGAAGAACGCAGCGAAAUGCGAUAAGUAGUGUGAAUUGCAGAAUUCAGUGAAUCAUCGAAUCUUUGAACGCACAUUGCGCCCCUUGGUACUCCAUGGGGCAUGCCUGUUCGAGCGUCAUUUACACCCUCAAGCUCAGCUUGGUGUUGGGCGUCUGUCCCGCUUCGUGCGCGGACUCGCCUCAAAUGCAUUGGCAGCGGUCUUGCCAGCUUCUCGCGCAGCACAUUGCGCUUCUAGAGGCUUUGGCGGAUCGGCGUCCAUCAAGUACACCCACAGUUUGACCUCGGAUCAGGUAGGGAUACCCGCUGAACUUAAGCAUAUCAAUAAGCGGAGGG